rnacentral:rRNA from 1 species
UACGAAGGGGGCUAGCGUUGCUCGGAAUCACUGGGCGUAAAGCGCACGUAGGCGGCUUUUUAAGUCAGGGGUGAAAUACUGGAGCUCAACUCCAGAACUGCCUUUGAUACUGAGAAGCUUGAGUCCGGGAGAGGUGAGUGGAACUGCGAGUGUAGAGGUGAAAUUCGUGGAUAUUCGCAAGAACACCAGUGGCGAAGGCGGCUCACUGGCCCGGUACUGACGCUGAGGUGCGAAAGCGUGGGGAGCAAACAGG